GUGAGUCAUCGAAUCUUUGAACGCACCUUGCACUCUUUGGUAUUCCGAAGAGUAUGUCUGUUUGAGUGUCAUGAAACUCUCAACCCCCUUAUUUUGUAAUGAGAUAAGCGUGGGCUUGGAUUAUGAUUGUUGCCGGCGCAAGUCGACUCAAUUGAAAUACACGAGCUACCCAUUUGAAAUAAACGGUUUGACUCGGCGUGAUAAUUAUUUCGCUGAGGACGUUUUCUUCGAAAAUAAGAGGUGCUUCUAAUGCGCUUUUAUAGCAAUUUAAAUUUUAGACCUCAAAUCAGUCAGGACUAC
rnacentral:misc_RNA from 1 species